rnacentral:misc_RNA from 1 species
GGCAGGAGAGGCAGGAGAGCCGGGAGAGACGGGAGAGAUCGGAGGGGCGAGUGGUUCGCUCGGUGGGAGAAACAGGAGACCCGGGCAGUGCAAGCCGGGCAGCCUGCCCGACGAUAUCGUCGCUCUCGAUAUCGCGGUGAUUCUACUUUUUUUUUUCCUUUCCCCCAUCCUCCGUCAAGAGUCGGACUUGUUACGCCGCGAGUUUUCCUUUUCGCGUUCUAAUAACGCGGGCAUGCGCAUCGUCUCUUUUUCCAGCCACCGAGAAACGCGUAUAUACAAGGCACAUCUUGUACCUUGGAAUUGAUACACACGUAUAUAGAGACACGUAUAUACAUAUAUAUAUCUAUGUAUGUAUAUAUAUAUAUAUGUAUAUAUAUAUAUGUACGUUAUACAGUGUACAUACGCGUAGCAGGUACGAAAGUACGGAGUAGGACGAACGUGUGUUUCCGCGCGCACCGAUAAGAAGACAGUCGAGAGACAGAGAGCAAAAGACACGCACGUUAGAUCGCUACUUACUCGGCCACGUACGUUCGUGGAAUAUAUACGGGAGCACGUGUAUCCAUCCGGAGGGGCAGCUGAAAGAACGCACGCACUUCCCCGCUCGGAAGUUUCCGCAGCUUUCAAGUAACAGAUAAUUUGUCGAGGGAAAUAGUGCGAUGAUACGCUCCGGCGUGAAGCAAAUCCAAGUUGACGGGAAUGCGUUUCUGGGAAAAGGGUGAGCCGAGCGGCUCCACGUUCUACCCAUUUUCGUUGGACCGGCCUUGUUUUCGGUGUAUCGGCAAUUUAUCGUGAAACACAGAGGCGAGGAGAACACGGCAGGGAGCAACACGAUCGGGCAACAACUUUAUGCCGGUAACCGGAGCCGGAAACCAGAAGGAAGGCGCAACAGGGAGCUAAGAACACUUCCGUUUCUUCCAACCGAAGUCAGGCUAUCCAACUUUUAUCAGGAUGUUGCCUGCCAACGUGGUAUCCUUCGUCAAAAAGAUGGUGACGACGCAGCCAGAUUCGGGAACAACCGGAUCGGUUACGCCGGACGAAGGCGGCACCACGUUCAGCAAAUGGAGGCAAUUGGGAAGCGGCGUGAUACGGGACGUGACGAAAUUCGGUCCCGCUAAAGUGACGCCAGUCGAGGAGACUCAACCUAAAGAAGAAACGACCACGGAAUCAACGAAAACGAAGUCGAAAACCGGGGACGAUUGCAGAGUGUGCCGGAAGUCGUUCGCCCCCGAAGAAGCCUCGAGGAUCUGCUGCGAGUGUCAACACAAAGUUUGCGAGGACUGUGCUUGCUACUCGACGACAACGAAUUCCGACGAUCCGUCGUCUUGGAGGUGCAGCGUGUGCCGGCGGAAGCUCGCGUCCCGGGACCAACCGAUCGUUACGCAGGAAUCGACCGAUUCGUUGCUCGAGGUUCCGGUCCUCGAGGCUCUUCAAAGGAGGCACAGCGACGCGAGACUCGGCUGCCAGAGCGGAAGCCAGAUCGGCGGCCUCGGCUCCGGAUUGGCGCCCCCGAGAAGCCCCGAACUCAGAAGGCACUCGGACGUGUCGCCGGCCAGUUUGAAGGAGCUCGAAAAGUUUCGAAAGGUUGCAGGGGAACGCCGCGAGGAGCUGAGAUGGGAGCUGGAUCGGAGCAUCAGGUCCAGGGCGACCUCGCCGGAUCGUCACCAGGUCGAUAAGGGAAGGGCCACCAGCCCCCAGAGAGUUUCCGUCGUCCCGUCCUCCGUCGCUGGAGAGCCAUCGGACGUGCCGUUGGACGGGGACGAGGAGGACGAGCGUCGAAGGCACGUGAGGCGGAGUGGCACGGUUCGCAAGUCUCGUAUGACCAGGCAAAGGUCGUACGACGACGAAAUGAAGAACGUUGCGGCCAUGUCCGGAGGUGGAGCGCAGCACGCGCAUCCGGAGCCGGGCCUGGGGCUUCCGGUGCAGCUGCCUAGGCGGGCAUCGGCCUACGACGUGUACGCGACGCCGGGAGCGGGCGGCCUCAACGCCAUGGCCAUCGCGGCUGCCCAGCAAAGAGCAUCGAUCUCCGCGCAGGGAGGCAGGAAACCUCCGGAAGAAAGGCCGGCCACUCGCAGAUUGUCGUUCCGAGUGGUGAAGCCGUACGAAGUCGGAGCCGAAGAUGAAAGCAUGAUGAAUUUGGAGGCAUCCUCUGUGCCGGUCGUCUCGCCAAAGGUCGUUCCUCCGCCUGUUUUGGGCCCUGACGAGGAACGCCGCACCAGACGAAGGGGCUCCCAACUGCCGGAUAUAAACGCCAUAAAGGGAUUGGCAUCUUCGGCCUCCUCGGCCGCGACAAAAGUCGCCCCUCCGUCGGCUGUGAACAGGGUCGCGGCCGAGGAUCGUGAAUUGGCACGGCAAGGAAGCCUCGUCGACGGGGAAAGUAUCAAGAUCGUUAUCCAUCACGCGGACAAUGACAUGACGCCCUGGGUGAACGCGAAGAGGAGAAUAAAACUGAGAAGAGAUCCGAGUUUGGACAAAGGGCAUAGAACCGCUGGUUUCGGUCUAAGGGUGGUUGGUGGUAAAACAGGGACCGAUGGACGUACAUUUGCAUACGUGAUGUGGACCCUGCCGGAUGGACCAGCGGCAAAAGUUGGUAUACAACGAGGCGACAAGGUGUUAGAGUGGAAUGGAGUGUCUCUGGUGGAUCGAAGCUUCGAGGAAGUGGUUCAAAUAACAGAGCGGAACGACGAUGUGGUCGAUCUGGUGGUCGAGCAUGUUGCCGACACCGGGGACCUGCCGGAGGAUUUAGCCGCGGUACCAUCUGGAAAAGUGCCGGGGAAUCUGGGACUGCUGAUGGAAGGGGAAACGGAUAAAACGCCUUCAUCACCGACGCGCAGGAAACUGCCAAAGACGCCGGAGCAGAUAGCGAAAGAGAAGCAGGUGACGGGCAGGAUACAGAUACAAGUCUCGUACGAGGCGGAUCGCAAGGAGCUGAUCGUCUCCGUUUUCAUGGCGGACGACUUGUGCGCAAGGGAGGACACCGGAUACGGCACGUUGCCGGAGGCGUAUGCCAAAUUGGCCCUGGUUCCGAUCGGCGCCGAUCAAAUUACUUUGAAAACCGUGGUCGCGGAGCCAAGUCAAAAGCCAAUUUGGAAUGCAACAUUGCUUUUCUCCGGGGUUGACGGGGAGAGCUUAAUGAAGCGAGCGAUCGAGGUGACCCUGUGGGAUUUCUGCCCCGACGGCGAUAACGUUUUUCUCGGCGAAUGCACCGUCGAUUUGGAACGGGCCCUCGAAAAUGACAGAGCAGUUUGGUAUCGACUGGAAGACCCCCGUGGGCUUCGCGCGAGCAAAUCGCCCUACUGUUCCCCCCGCGGCUCCCUUUCCAUGGAAAUUGCCCAAAGGUUACUGCGAAAGACUGAGCUGCGCGAAAGAAGUUACAGCGACGACACGCAAAGCGACAGCGGAAGUCCGGAGCUCUGCUUCCUCCACCCGGACCACGCUUGGCAUGCAAAUUCCAGAAGAGGCUCCAGCCAAUCCGAGCAGCUUGAAGUCGAACCGUACGAACUUAACAGGGAUUACAGUAGAUCCUUGCCGGGCAGCCGAAGGAGCAGUUUCCAGAGCCAAGGUGGCACCGACAGUAAACGCGGAAGUAUGGGGGAGACCGAGAUGCCGACGAUACACUUCAACCGAGAUCGGCGACGGAGCUCGUUCACCAGGCCAAUGAGGGACCCGGAGGAAAUUCUGGAGGGUCUACGAUCGUUGAAAGCGGCCAAGAGGGAGCUUGGCAGGACGAUGAGUCUCUCGGGAGACAAAAGACGCGAGAGCCCGUGCGUAGUCCCAACGGUUACUGUGUGGCAGUGCGAGCCUGUAUCUCCGAGGACCGGUAACUCGGCCUCCUUCCCACUGCCGCACUCCAUACCACCUCGAUAAAUAACCACAGGACACUGUGGGCCACCGUCACGGGCUUCCGGGCGGGGUGAGCGCAAAGACAGCGUCAUGAAUAUUCCGGAGAGGUUUUACGAUCGCAACAGUGAAUCGGACGAGGAAGAAAAGUGGAGUCAGCCAACGAGAAAU